CUUAUAUAUUAUUCUAUAUUAUGCGUCUCCAUCCAGAUUCUCGUGUAUACCAUGAGGGUCUAGAUUGGGGUGUUGUUUAUUUCUGUAUUCUUUAAAUUUGUAUGUCACUUUUCCCUAGAUUUUAUUUAUUUUACUCAUUAUGCUUUCUCUAUUCUUUAUAUUUUAGCAUCUCAAUAUAUUUUACUUACUGUUGUUUGGUUACAUUACGACGUUUAUCUCUGAUUUAUAU
rnacentral:lncRNA from 1 species